ensembl:lncRNA
GACCGGGGAUCAGUCCCUCUCUGAGCUCUACCUCUCACCACUGCAGUGCUGCUUUCAGAGCAGCCCAAUGGAGUCAGGGAUUUCCUCACCAAACAGUAUUUCUUCCCGUCUCUCUCUCUCUCUCUCCCUCCCUCCCUCCCUCCGUCACGCGUGGGCUGUGGAUGUGUUCACAUGAUUAGAAGAUUUCAGUUCUUCUGCACCUCAGUCAGCACCCCUCCUCAUGGUGCUGUCAGAUUUCCUCAGCGCUCGCAUCAAACAGCAGACAAGAUUCUCUUCCGUGAGAGACAAGAUUCUCUUCCGUGAGAGAGCUGGCCUGCGUACGGUGCUAAUGGCGUGCCGUUUCCAGACGCAGACACAGACGUGUGAAUUCCUUUACCUACCUCUGGGAAUAGAGUAGGUGAAGAGAGGAGAAUAACCCUUCCUCCUCUUCCUCGUUCUUGGCACUUAGCUCUUUUGUCAAGUAGUGAUGAUGACACAUUCAGCAGGCAGAGACCGUGGGGUUUGUUAAGGUGUGGCAAGCUUAGCGUCUGCCACGGGUCAUUGACUCGCCUGUUUGGGGCAGAAAAGUUAUGAAAAGCAUAGGGGCGCCAAUCAUUUUUUUAAUGAUUAAUUAACAGCAUAUAAAUAUUUUCAGACAUCAAACUCACAUUUUAUUUUUCUCUUUGUUGGUUUCGUCGACUGCUGCAUUUGUUCAUACUGAGCAUUUCCAAAGAUGGUGUGUUAGUGCUUUGAGCCGGGUUGGCCCUGGACUCCCCGCAGCCGGUGGUGAAACAGUACACACACACACACACACACACACACACACGCGGGAGCCCGGGACUCACCUCAGGGACGCUGUGGACAUACAGAGAGCUUACAUGGCCCCCUGGUGGACCGAAGAGCGCACUGCAACCACAUCACGGCUGACAAACGGACUGAAGCCAUCAGAAAUAGCUGAACGAGCUUACAUGCACUCUUAUGUGUGUGUGUGUAGUCCUGGAAACACACAACCGUUCUCUGACCUCAGGUUUAAAUCUCAUGCAGUAGUAUUUUGGGCCAGAUGCUUAAUAUAUGGACUCGUUAAGUACAAAGCAAUAAUUCAUUUUCAUAUAUGGACUUGUGAUUUUGGAGUUAUAAAUUAUGUACAUACCAAGUAUUGCAUACUGAGCCGUUCGUAAUCAAACAGUAUUUCCCAGGGAGUUCCGAGUCUUUAGCAUUCCACUUCUAAUUUCAAACAAACAGCAGCGUCACCAUGGCGACUCAGACAUCCCAUCCACUGCCCAGUAGCUAAGGGUCAGGGGUCCCCAUCUGAAGCUGGGAUUGGCUCUCUAAUAAAACAUGCUCGACCAAUCAACCGCUGACUCUCAGAUAUGUGCAUUUCAUGCAGUGUAAGCAACAUUCUGUGUUGUUUUGUAAACAGUACUAGAAAACAAAAACAAGAACUAGAAGAACAUGUCCACACAGGGAACCCUGGGGAGCUCAGGCUUCAUACAGUAAGGUGAUGAUCUGUAGACCUUCUGUCUCCACUGCCCGUGCUAUAAGCUGCAGUGUGUACUAUUCUAUAAGCUGCAGUCUGUACUAUUCUAUAAGCUGCAGUCUGUACUAUACUAUAAGCUGCAGUCUGUACUGUACUAUAAGCUGCAGUCUGUACUAUACUAUAAGCUGCAGUCUGUACUAUACUAUAAGCUGCAGUCUGUACUAUACUAUAAGCUGCAGUCUGUACUAUUAGACUAUGGAACACUGUCUCCUCUUCAUGUCUUCCUCUUGUUUCAAGUAUUCCUUUGUAUUUGUUUAUUGCUUACCUAAACAAAUCAGAACAUCUGAAAUAGACAAUGAAGAGCAUAAAACGCACAGGAAUAUUAGCAAAUGUCCCGUUCAAAACUGCAUAGGUCCACUACGCUGCAUACUCAUGAAGAAGAUUUGAAUUUGAAAAUGAUUUUGUGCAAAAAUUGCAGAAAGCCUCAAUAAUAGAUGUCACACCAGCUGAUGAGGUUUCUCAGGCCUUUCCACAUGCCGACACACACACAUCUCACCUCGUGAUCCAGCUUGGGUGACCAGCACAUUCAACAGACUGGGUCAGAAUGUCAGUCACAGCCGGCUGGAAUAGUCGUGGAGGUUAAUGACACCGGAAUUUAGACACAGGUGACGGGUAAGCAAACGGCAAACAACGCAGUGCAGCAAACAGCAAACACUCUUCUGAAUCAGCAUACACUCUUCUGAAUCAGCAAACAGCAAACACUCUUCUGAAUCAGCAAACACUCUUCUGAAUCAGCAAACAGCAAACACUCUUCUGAAUCAGCAAACACUCUUCUGAAUCAGCAAACACUCUUCUGAAUCAGCAUACAGCAAACACUCUUCUGAAUCAGCAAACACUCUUCUGAAUCAGCAAACAGCAAACACUCUUCUGAAUCAGCAAACAGCAAACACUCUUCUGAAUCAGCAAACAGCAAACACUCUUCUGAAUCAGCAUACACUCUUCUGAAUCAGCAUACACUCUUCUGAAUCAGCAUACAGCAAACACUCUUCUGAAUCAGCAUACAGCAAACACUCUUCUGAAUCAGCAUACACUCUUCUGAAUCAGCAUCCAGCAAACACUCUUCUGAAUCAGCAUACACUCUUCUGAAUCAGCAUACAGCAAACACUCUUCUGAAUCAGCAUACAGCAAACACUCUUCUGAAUCAGCAAACAGCAAACACACUUCUGAAUCAGCAUACAGCAAACACUCUUCUGAAUCAGCAAGCAGCAAACACUCUUCUGAAUCAGCAAACACUCUUCUGAAUCAGCAUACAGCAAACACUCUUCUGAAUCAGCAAACAGCAAACACUCUUCUGAAUCAGCAAACAGCAAACACUCUUCUGAAUCUCACCAUUCGAUGUCCACAGACCUAAGAGACCCCAUAAACACACUUCGUAACUGAAUCAUUAAAGUCGAUUAAAAAGAAAGAAUAUAUUUUUGUACAAAUGUAAUUUUAUCCCUCUGUUUCCUAUGUAGUUAUUUCCUUCAUCCUAUGGAAUGUUGUGUAAUUUGUGUAAAUGCUGAGUUCCCGAACGAAAUUAAAUAAAAAAAAUGGGAGAGAUGUCAUGAGUAUGUGAUCCUCUGUGAUGUCAUCAGUAAGCGCUCCUCUGUGAUGUCAUGAGUAAGCGCUAACAGACUCUUGUACUCCUGUUAUAUUGAGGGUUUGGAAUUUAUGCCUAAAAAAAUGGAGGGAGGAUUCCUUUUUUUGUACUUUAGUGAAAUUAGUGGAUUGUGUGUCACUCUAAACUGUUUGUUGUUGUGGCGACAAUUAAAAAUUCAAAUUUUGGACUUGCUAUUCCUUUGCAACUCACUUUGAGUUCACUUACGAACACCCAUUCAGAAUCCUAUUUUAGAUUUGAACUGAACUGUUCAUACAUUGGAAAUCUUUCCAGAUCUUUCAAGUGAACAAAACAAUAUUCCAGUCUAAUUCUUUAUUCACAC